rnacentral:rRNA from 1 species
GACGAACGCUGGCGGCGUGCUUAACACAUGCAAGUCGAACGGUGACGACAGGGCUUGCCUUGUCUGAUCAGUGGCGAACGGGUGAGUAACACGUGAGUAACCUGCCCCUGACUCUGGGAUAACCCCGGGAAACCGGAGCUAAUACCGGAUACGACACGCCUCCGCAUGGGGAGCGUGUGGAAAGUUUUUCGGUCUGGGAUGGACUCGCGGCCUAUCAGCUUGUUGGUGAGGUAAUGGCUCACCAAGGCGACGACGGGUAGCCGGCCUGAGAGGGCGACCGGCCACACUGGGACUGAGACACGGCCCAGACUCCUACGGGAGGCAGCAGUGGGGAAUAUUGCACAAUGGGCGAGAGCCUGAUGCAGCGACGCCGCGUGAGGGAUGACGGCCUUCGGGUUGUAAACCUCUUUCAGCAGGGAAGAAGCGCAAGUGACGGUACCUGCAGAAGAAGCACCGGCUAACUACGUGCCAGCAGCCGCCGUAAAAC